rnacentral:rRNA from 1 species
GAGCUGGUACCACCCGAUCCCUUCCCGAACUCGGUCGUGAAACAGCUUAGCGCCGAUGAUAGUGUGAGUUUCUCAUGUUAAAGUAGGUCAUUGCCAAAG